rnacentral:rRNA from 1 species
AGUCUGGUGCCAGCAGCCGCGGUAAUUCCAGCUCCAAUAGCGUAUAUUAAAGUUGUUGCAGUUAAAAAGCUCGUAGUUGAAGUUCUGGCUGUUCGAUCCUCGAGCUCUGUAGCCGAGGACUCGACAGUCAUCCGCUUGCAAAUAUAUGUUCGCCUUUAACCGGGCGGCUAUAUGAGUAAGCAAUUUACCUUGAGAAAAACAGAGUGUUCCAGGCAGGUUUGUCCGGAAUGCAUUAGCAUGGAAUAAUAGAAUAUGACUGAAGUCGAUUUAUUGGUUUGAGGCUUUAGUAAUGAUUAAUAGGAACAGUCGGGGGCAUUGGUACUUGACAGUCAGAGGUGAAAUUCUAGGAUUUGUCAAAGACUAACAAAUGCGAAAGCAUUUGCCAAGGAUGUUUUCAUUAAUCAAGAACGAAAGUUAGGGGAUCAAAGACGAUCAGAUACCGUCCUAGUCUUAACUAUAAACUAUACCGACUCGGAUUCAGAUGAAUCAUAAAGUUCAUUUGGGACCGUAGGAGAAAUCAAAGUUUUUGGGUUCUGGGGGAAGUAUGGUCGCAAGGCUGAAACUUAAAGGAAUUGACGGUUUUGCACCACCAUGGAGUGGAGUCUGCGGCUUAAUUUGACUCAACACUGGGAAACUCAUCAGGGCAAGAAGAUUGUAGGAUUGACAGAUUGAGAGUUCUUUCUUGAUUGGUCUAGUGGUGGUGCAUGGCCGUUCUUAGUUGGUGGAGUGAUUUGUCUGGUUAAUUCCGUUAACGAACGAGACCUUAACCUGCUAACUAGUACACAGAUGACAAAUCUGUGAUACUUCUUAGAGGGACUAUGUGAUGUAAUCACAUGGAAGUUUGAGGCAAUAACAGGUCUGUGAUGCCCUUAGAUGUCCUGAGCUGCACGCGUACUACAAUGGUGCUUUCAACGAGCUUUUCCUGAUCCGAAAGGAUUUGGGUAAUCUUUUUAGUGAGCACCGUGCUUGGGAUAGAUCUUUGUAAUUAUGGAUCUUGAACUAGGAAUUCCUAGUAAGCGCGCGUCAUCAGCGCGUGCUGAUUACGUCCCUGCAAAAUGUACACACCGCCCGUCGCUAUUACCGAUUGAGUGUAAAGGUGAACCUUCUCGAUAGACGCAAGUUUAGAAAUUAAGUAAACCUUUGCACUUAGAGGAAAUAAAAGUCGUAACAAGGUUUCCGUAGGUGAACCUGCGGAAG